rnacentral:lncRNA from 10 species
GCAGACCGGCGCAUUUCAGAGUCAGCGACUAGCGGAUACCCAUGGGCUCCGGGCUAUUGUACCACCGAGAGGUGUAAACCCAACUGGAGUUUGCUGAAGGCAAGCUUCCAAGGUGAGGGCUGGGUUUUCUCGGGUGCUUUCGGGCCGAUCCGGGGUGGGGCACCUCAGAGGCUAACACUCAUCUAAAGCUGGUAGAGGCUGAAAUAUUAUGGACACCUGAACAAAUCCGAGACACGCAUGAUGUCUCGCUAAACUGCAGUUUCAUUUUUUCCACUACCCAGAAACAAACAAACAAACAAAUACAUAAAUAAAGUCAUUGUUCUAGGCCAGAGAAAAUAUGCCAACAAGAAGUCACCCUUUCUGUUUCAACUUCAAAGGCAAUGGAUUUUUCUUGCAAUUCUUUUAUUUUAGAAAAGGAAACUCAGAAUGGCAGGGGGAAGCCCCUCCAGGCCACUUUAAAUUUCUUCACAGUAGAGUCCUGGGCGAAGAGUGAAGAUCCUGGGAUAAGGGUGUUUGUGGGUUCUUUGAAUGGAAGCCCACCCAGGGCACCUGGC